GGCGCACACGGACGUGCUGGUCUGCGGGGUCUGCGGGCUGGAGGAAGGGGCGCCUGGCGUCUCAGACCGCACGUCCUGGAAAGUGGGGGUGGAGGACGGCCACGCUGCCCGCAGUCUGCCUGUCCGCCGCUGGCAAUGUGAUGUUGGAAGUAAAGAGAUGGCCACCUUCCUGAAGCCCCUGCGUCUCCGCAAACCACGCUCCCAAAGUGUGAGGUGGGCGGUGACACACUUGCCCUGCAGCCCUAACACAGCAGGACCAUGCAGUUCUGUCUGCUCAGCACCAUCCAUCCACCAGGGUGCUGCCCCCACCCAGCCCCGAGGCUCUGGGAGUUGAUGGACACACCCUGCCCGGGGCGCAGGCAGGUGGCCCAGGUCUGACCGGUUGUGACUUCCCAUCCUAUUCAGGGUUAUAAGUUCAUGGGUUGGGCCUGAGACUCAACCUUAGUCCUUGCGUGAGACUCUCAAAGAGAGAGAGAGAGAGAGAGAGAGAGAGAGAGAGUCUUUGUCAUUAUUGUGGAUUGUGGCACGAGAGGGAAGCUAACACCUCAGCAGAACCAGAGACAAUCAGAGGGGAGGAGGAAGCCCAACAAUAGCGUCCCAGCCCCUGGAUCCAGCUGUACCUGCAGCACCUUUAGAUGUAAGUGAUCCAAGAUGUGAGCUGAACUUGCAACCAAGAGUCCCACCUCCUUCCCUAAUAAUAACGUAAACAUGUUUGGGAGCGAUUUUAUAUAAGCAUUGCACUAGGUGGGUAUAUAAAAUCUAGGAACACCCUUUAAAAUGGUAA